AUGGACUCCAGGAUGUCCAAGAGCCCCCUUUCGUCUCCGCCGGCGGCAGCCGCGCACGACGAGGGGGACGGUGACGCAGCGGCGGUGGUGCGGGUCACGAGCCGAAUGUACCUGCACAGGCCCGGGCCCGGUGCGGGGCCGCUGGAGAAGGAUGCCGUGCUCCGCCGGAUCCGCCACCGGAGGCGCGCCAACCGCCUCCGGGACACGCUGCGCUCGCUCCUUGUCCUGCAGCAGCACGCCGCGCCGGAGCCGGAGGACGGCGAGCGGCCGGCGUGGCUCGACGACGCGUUCACGUCUCCUCUGCCUCGUGUACCGCUGCUGCUUCACGCACGCACGUUCGACGGUGACCACGAGCGGCUGCGAAUUCGACGGGCAUUCAUGUGCCCCAUGCUUUUCUUUAUAUGCACACUGUACUAG
rnacentral:rRNA from 1 species